GGCGGUGGGACGUGACACGGUGACAUGAGGCUUGACAGGAGCGUGGCGGUGGUGUGUGGCAGGCUGAGGUGGUGGCGGAGUGUGUCUGCCGGGGUGUGUGUGUCGCCGCCUCUCAGACACCUGCAUCUCACACAUACCAGACACUGCCCACAGUCCCCUGGCAGCGAUGCCCUGCCUUCACCACCACUGCGGGACCACCUGCAGAGCUUGGACCACAUCCGGAACAUUGGUAUCAUGGCGCACAUUGAUGCAGGCAAAACCACCACCACGGAGCGUAUGCUGUUCUACGGGGGCGUGACCAGAACACUGGGGGAGGUGCACCACGGGGACACGGUCAUGGACUACUUGGAUCAGGAGCGGGAGAGAGGCAUCACCAUCACCUCGGCCGCCAUUACCCUGCCCUGGGCUGACCAUCGCAUCAACCUGGUGGACACACCAGGCCACGUGGACUUCACCAUGGAGGUGGAGCGUUCCCUCAGAGUGCUGGAUGGGGCCGUGGCCAUCCUAGAUGCUUCUGCUGGCGUGGAGGCACAGACGCUGACAGUGUGGCGUCAGGCAGACCGCUACAAGGUGCCUCGCUUUAUCUACCUCAACAAGAUGGACAAGCCUGCUGCGAGUGUGCCACUCUGCCUCAGUUCCAUCAGGGACAAGCUCCACACCCUGCCGCUACUGCUGCACCUCCCCCUCGGCCAGGGCAAGUUGUUCCGAGGCCUGGUGGACCUGGUCACCUUGCACAGGCUGGAGUGGGACCUCAGCUCAAGUGACCGUGGCAGACAGUACCUCCAGCGUGCCCUCACCCCAGAUGAGGAGGUGUGGGAUGAGGCACAGCUGGCCCGGUGUGAGCUGAUAGACAAGCUGGCAGAUCUGGACAAUCCCCUGGCAGAGUAUGUGCUAGAGCAGGAGUCCUUGGAGAACGUACCUGCCCCAUUGAUGAGAGAGGCUGUCCGCAGGGUCACUCUCAGCCAGGAAGCCGUGCCAGUGCUGGUGGGAAGCUCUUACAAGAAUGUGGGUGUGCAGCCGAUGAUGAAUGCUGUGGUGGACUUCCUUCCUUCUCCCAGGGAUGCCACUCAGCCCCCUGCACUCAGCCUCUACACCCCCAACCUGUGCGCCUUGGCCUUCAAGAUUGUCCACGACAAACAAAGAGGAGGCAUUCUGACCUAUCUCCGUGUGUAUUCUGGCCGCUUGGAAAAGGGCCAGCGAGUGUACAAUGUGAAUGGAAGCCGCAGUGAAAAGUUGGGUCAGGUCCUCAUUGCAUACGCUGACCACUACAAGGAGGUGGCGUCAGUGGAGGCCGGGAACAUUGUGGUCGUCACUGGGCUGAAGGGCACCAACACGGGGGACACGCUGGUAGGGAGUCAGUCAGUGGCCAACACUGCCAGGAAGAGGCUGGCUGCGGUGGGUGAUGAGGAAGCAACGCCCACACUGCUUGGCGUGGAGGUGCCUGAUCCAGUCUUCUUCUGCUCUGUUGAGGCACCAUCAUCCUCCCAGCAGAAGGCCCUGGAGGAGGCACUAGUCCAGCUGCAGAGGGAGGACCCAAGCCUGCAUGUCACCCAGGAUGAGGAGACUGGCCAGACAGUGCUCUCAGGGAUGGGAGAGCUGCAUCUGGAGAUCAUUCGUGACAGGAUACACAAGGAACACAAGGUGGAGGCAGAGCUGGGCCCGCUGCAGGUGGCGUACCGGGAGACCUGCACCGUCCCUGCCACACACACACUCCUGGUGGACAAGAUGAUUGGAGACAGCCGGCAGCAAGUUAAGAUCACCCUCUCCAUCUCCCCUUCCCAAGACCACAAGUUCAAGUCUGUCUCCUUUGCGUAUUCUGCAGACAACCAAGAGAACCUUCAGUCACUGCGACGCUACCACCUCUCGGCCAUCAACCGGGGUGUCAGCGCGGGCCUCAGGAACGGGCCGGUGCUGGGCUGCCCUGUGGUGGACCUCAAAGUUGGCUUGAGCUGGUGUGAAGUCAGGCCAGGCACCUCAGAGACCAUGGUUGCUGCUGCUGCUGCUCAAUGUCUCCAGCAGGUCCUGGCUGAGGGAGGCUGCCAGCUGAUGGAGCCAAUCAUGGUGCUGGAGAUUGUAGCAGAGGAGGAACACACCUCCACACUGCUGGCUGAUCUCUCCCGCAGGAGGGCAAAUGUCCUGCACAUAUCCCAUCGCCAUGAUAUGAGGGUGUUGUUGGUGGAAUGUCCCCUUGCUGAACUGAUGGGCUACUCCACUACCAUCCGCACACUGUCAUCUGGCACUGCUUCCUUCACCAUGGAGCUGUCCCACUACAGCUUGGUGAAUGCCUCCCAGCAAGCUGCAGUCAUUGAGGCAGUGACUGGCUUCACACCCCUGUGAAGUAUACACCACUACAACACACACCACCCCAGAAGUUCAGGAGGGAUGACACCUACAGACAUCCUAGGUGUGUGUGGAUGGAGACCACAGCAGCAAGGUGGUUGUGUUCAAGGCUUGAGUUGCCCAACAGCAGUAGCACUUUCAGGAGCUAUUGUUACUGCUGCUGCUGCUCCUCUUCUCAACAGCAGGCAGCAAUGGCAGCGGCGGCGGCAAAAGUGCUGUUGCUGCUGUUGCUGCUGCUGCUGCUGCUCCUCUUUACAGUGGGCAGUAAUGUCAGCGGUAAAAGUACUGCUGCUGGCCCCUACCAUUUAUCCUGGAACAUUCAUUCACAAAUCAUCUUUCAAUAGAAUUUUUCCUGUAUAUAAAUGUAAAUAAAGAUUUUACACUA
rnacentral:misc_RNA from 1 species